rnacentral:rRNA from 1 species
AACGAACGCUGGCGGCGCGUUUAAGCAUGCAAGUCGAGCGGCAAGGGCCUUCGGGCCCUAGAGCGGCGGACGGGUGAGUAACACGUGGACAAUCUGCCCCCCGGCCCGGGAUAGCCCAGGGAAACCUGGAUUAAUACCGGAUGAGACGGGACCUGCGAUGGCGGGAUCCGGGAAAGGCGCUACGGCGCCGCCGGGGGAUGAGUCUGCGUCCCAUUAGCUAGACGGCGGGGUAACGGCCCACCGUGGCGACGAUGGGUAGCCGGCCUGAGAGGGUGGACGGCCACAUUGGAACUGAGACACGGUCCAGACUCCUACGGGAGGCAGCAGCUAAGAAUCUUCCGCAAUGGGCGAAAGCCUGACGGAGCCGACGCCGCGUGAACGAAGAAGGCCGUGAGGUUGUAAAGUCCUUUUCGGGAGGGGGAACAACCGUGGCAGGGAAUGGCCGCGGGAUGACGUGAAUCCCGGAAUAAGCCCCGGCUAACUACGUGCCAGCCGCGGC